rnacentral:rRNA from 1 species
CCUACGGGUGGCAGCAGUGGGGAAUAUUGGACAAUGGGGGCAACCCUGAUCCAGCCAUGCCGCGUGUGUGAAGAAGGCCCUUGGGUUGUAAAGCACUUUCAGUGAGGAAGAACGCCUGGUGGUUAAUACCCAUCAGGAAAGACAUCACUCACAGAAGAAGCACCGGCUAACUCCGUGCCAGCAGCCGCGGUAAUACGGAGGGUGCGAGCGUUAAUCGGAAUUACUGGGCGUAAAGCGCGCGUAGGUGGCUUGAUAAGCCGGUUGUGAAAGCCCCGGGCUCAACCUGGGAACGGCAUCCGGAACUGUCAAGCUAGAGUGCAGGAGAGGAAGGUAGAAUUCCCGGUGUAGCGGUGAAAUGCGUAGAGAUCGGGAGGAAUACCAGUGGCGAAGGCGGCCUUCUGGACUGACACUGACACUGAGGUGCGAAAGCGUGGGUAGCAAACAGGAUUAGAUACCCCGGUAGUC